rnacentral:sRNA from 1 species
AGGCGGGUUUGUGUUUCCUGGGCCGAACCGGGUUGUGGGGGGCGCGGGGCCUGGGCCAGGCGGCAGCUAAGGCCCGCGGCGCCGGUGUCCGGAAAGGUGUUCAUUCAGCGAGACUACAGCAGUGGCACACGCUGCCAGUUCCAGACCAAGUUCCCUGCGGAGCUGGAGAACAGGAUUGAUAGGCAGCAGUUUGAAGAAACAGUUCGAACUCUAAAUAACCUUUAUGCAGAAGCAGAAAAGCUCGGCGGCCAAUCAUAUCUCGAAGGUUGUUUGGCUUGUUUAACAGCAUAUACCAUCUUCCUAUGCAUGGAAACUCAUUAUGAGAAGGUUCUGAAGAAAGUCUCCAAAUACAUUCAAGAGCAGAAUGAGAAGAUCUAUGCUCCACAAGGCCUCCUCCUGACAGACCCCAUUGAGCGAGGACUGCGAGUUAUUGAAAUUACCAUUUAUGAAGACAGAGGCAUGAGCAGUGGAAGAUAAACCGAAGAAUUAAAGAUCCCACUUCCAGCCGGGCCCCUCAUGUAUCCACUGGCCGACCGCAGAGUGUCCCUACCUCCUCUCCAGAGCAUCAUUCCUUUCUAUCUG